rnacentral:rRNA from 1 species
GCAGUCGCCGCGGUAAUACGGGGGGGGCUAGCGUUGUUCGGAAUUACUGGGCGUAAAGCGCACGUAGGCGGCUUGGUAAGUUAGAGGUGAAAGCCUGGAGCUCAACUCCAGAAUUGCCUUUAAGACUGCCGUUGAUACUAUCUGUCUUGAAUAACGUUGAGGUGAGCGGAAUAUGUCAUGUAGCGGUGAAAUGCUUAGAUAUGACAUAGAACACCGAUUGCGAAGGCAGCUCACUAAACGCUCAUUGACGCUGAGGCACGAAAGCGUGGGGAUCAAACAGGAUUAGAUACCCCUGUAGUCCC